GUACACAAAAAUGCACAUACUGUGAGCUCGAUGAGUAGGGCGGGACACGUGGUAUCCUGUCUGAAUAUGGGGGGACCAUCCUCCAAGGCUAAAUACUCCUGACUGACCGAUAGUGAACCAGUACCGUGAGGGAAAGGCGAAAAGAACCCCGGCGAGGGGAGUGAAAAAGAACCUGAAACCGUGUACGUACAAGCAGUGGGAGCCUCUUAAUGGGGUGACUGCGUACCUUUUGUAUAAUGGGUCAGCGACUUAUAUUCUGUAGCAAGGUUAACCGAAUAGGGGAGCCGAAGGGAAACCGAGUCUUAACUGGGCGUUAAGUUGCAGGGUAUAGACCCGAAACCCGGUGAUCUAGCCAUGGGCAGGUUGAAGGUUGGGUAACACUAACUGGAGGACCGAACCGACUAAUGUUGAAAAAUUAGCGGAUGACUUGUGGCUGGGGGUGAAAGGCCAAUCAAACCGGGAGAUAGCUGGUUCUCCCCGAAAGCUAUUUAGGUAGCGCCUCGUGAAUUCAUCUCCGGGGGUAGAGCACUGUUUCGGCAAGGGGGUCAUCCCGACUUACCAACCCGAUGCAAACUGCGAAUACCGGAGAAUGUUAUCACGGGAGACACACGGCGGGUGCUAACGUCCGUCGUGAAGAGGGAAACAACCCAGACCGCCAGCUAAGGUCCCAAAGUCAUGGUUAAG
rnacentral:rRNA from 1 species